rnacentral:SRP_RNA from 1 species
CCGUGCUAGGCGGGGAAUUAGCGGUGCCCUGUACCCGCAAUCCGCUCUAGCGGGGCCGAACGCUCGACCGAGGGUCGUGGCCAUCGGGGCCAGUACGCCGCGGGCGGUGUUGACGGCCAGGUCCCGCGCAAUGCGCGUCCGCGAAUCAGGUCAGGUCCGGAAGGAAGCAGCCUUAAGCGGUGCCGAGCAUGUGCCGCGGGUAAGCCUGACCCGAGCCAGCCACGGCGGGCACGCCCGGGGACCAUUCUCGAGGUCGGGCCCGCACGG